rnacentral:rRNA from 1 species
GAUUAACGCUGGCGGCGUGCAUAACACAUGCAAGUCGAACGAUGAAACUUAACUGAUUUCUUCGGAAUGAUUUUAAGUGGAUUAGUGGCGGACGGGUGAGUAACGCGUGAGUAACCUGCCUUGGAGAAGGGGAUAGCCUUUGGAAACGAAGAAUAAUACCCUAUGAUAUGAUAAUAUCUCAUGAUAUUAUCAUCAAAGAUUUAUCGCUCUAAGAUGGACUUGCGUCUGAUUAGUUAGUUGGUGAGGUAACAGCUCACCAAGGCAGCGAUCAGUAGCCGGCUUGAGAGAGUGUACGGCCACAUUGGGACUGAGACACGGCCCAGACUCCUACGGGAGGCAGCAGUGGGGAAUUUUGCACAAUGGGGGAAACACUGAUGCAGCGACGCCGCGUGAUUUAGAAGGCCUGCGGGUUGUAAAAAUCUUUUGUAUGGGAAGAAAAUGACAGUACCAUACGAAUAAGGACCGGCUAAUUACGUG